CUUGAACGCUGGCGGAAUGCUUUACACAUGCAAGUCGAACGGCAGCACGGGGGCAAUCCUGGUGGCGAGUGGCGAACGGGUGAGUAAUACAUCGGAACGUGCCCAGUCGUGGGGGAUAAGGUAGCGAACGUCACGCCAAUACCGCAUACGAUUUAUGGAUGAAAGCGGGGGAGCGUAAGGACCCGCGCGAUUGGAACGGCCGAUGUCAGAUUAGGUAGAGCGUGAGGGAAAGGCCCACCAAGCCGACGAUCUGUAGCUGGUCUGAGAAGACGACCAGCCACACGGGGAGUGAGACACGGACCAGAAUCCUACGGGAGGCAGCAGUGGGGAAUGUUGGACAAUGGGCGCAAGCCUGAUGCAGCCAUGCCGCGUGCAGGACGAAGGCCUUCGGGUUGUAAACUGCUUUUGUACGGAACGAAAAGGUCCUGGUUAAUACCCGGGGCUCAUGACGGUACCGUAAGAAUAAGCACCGGCUAACUACGUGCCAGCCGCCGCGGUAACAC
rnacentral:rRNA from 1 species